rnacentral:rRNA from 1 species
AAAACUUUCAACAACGGAUCUCUGGGUUCUCGCAUCGAUGAAGAGCGCAGCGAAAUGCGAUACCUAGUGUGAAUUGCAGCCAUCGUGAAUCAUCGAGUUCUUGAACGCACAUUGCGC